rnacentral:lncRNA from 1 species
CCCACAAAGUCACCAGUAUUGGUUCUUGUUUGAAUCUCAUCACAUGGGCAUUAAAAUACGGCCUUUGAACAGUUACAUGUUUGCUAUGAUUACUGCUAAUAACGCAGUGCUCCAAGCAAUAGGAGGUUGGGGAAGAGCGCUUCUGCAGGGCUGCAAGAGCUUGGCCAAAGGAUCUUCCCUUGCUCCAAAGUAAUCUCAUCCCACCCAGCUGCCAUCUCUGAAGUGCUGCAUCUGGUCGGACGUAUCUGCUUUUCCUAGAGGUGAUUCAUGAGCUAGUGAUCUUUGUAUUAAGUGCGUGCACAGGAAAAACCUGACCACUGGCCCUCUGAUGAAGGGAAAGGACCUGUUACAUGUAUGGAGACUCUCUCUGCCUGCAGGAGUGAAAUACGACUGGAGGCAGAGCCGGUCUCAAGCUGAGGAGCAAGGGAGCAUGGCAGGUCUUGCUUACCAGCGCUGCUGGAUUACUCCUGCUGGGCAGGGGGAGAAGGCCUGAAGAAGAGUGGAGCACUUUGGGCAAAGAUAUGGAAGUGCCCCCCCUCCCCACUGCCCGCUGCCGCAUAGAUUGUAAGAGCAGAGCAGCAUUUCUGGGCUGCUGGAGUGGGAGGGGAUUGGAAGCAGUGUGAUUCAUUAGCUCCUGCCUUCUCCCGGAGGGCUCUUCUGCUUUUUAAGCCUGGGCUUGGAAGAGAUGGGAAU